rnacentral:rRNA from 1 species
UGCGUAACACGUGGGAAUCUGCCCUUUGGUAUGGAAUAACUCUGGGAAACUAGAGCUAAUGCCAUAUGAUGCCGUAAGGCCAAAGAUUUAUCGCCAGAGGAUGAGCCCGCGUAGGAUUAGCUAGUUGGUGGGGUAAAGGCCUACCAAGGCUACGAUCCUUAGCUGGUCUGAGAGGAUGAUCAGCCACACUGGGACUGAGACACGGCCCAG